GCUAAUACCGGAUAAUAUUUUGAACCGCAUGGUUCAAAAGUGAAAGACGGUCUUGCUGUCACUUAUAGAUGGAUCCGCGCUGCAUUAGCUAGUUGGUAAGGUAACGGCUUACCAAGGCAACGAUGCAUAGCCGACCUGAGAGGGUGAUCGGCCACACUGGAACUGAGACACGGUCCAGACUCCUACGGGAGGCAGCAGUAGGGAAUCUUCCGCAAUGGGCGAAAGCCUGACGGAGCAACGCCGCGUGAGUGAUGAAGGUCUUCGGAUCGUAAAACUCUGUUAUUAGGGAAGAACAUAUGUGUAAGUAACUGUGCACAUCUUGACGGUACCUAAUCAGAAAGCCACGGCUAACUACGUGCCAGCAGCCGCGGUAAUACGUAGGUGGCAAGCGUUAUCCGGAAUUAUUGGGCGUAAAGCGCGCGUAGGCGGUUUUUUAAGUCUGAUGUGAAAGCCCACGGCUCAACCGUGGAGGGUCAUUGGAAACUGGAAAACUUGAGUGCAGAAGAGGAAAGUGGAAUUCCAUGUGUAGCGGUGAAAUGCGCAGAGAUAUGGAGGAACACCAGUGGCGAAGGCGACUUUCUGGUCUGUAACUGACGCUGAUGUGCGAAAGCGUGGGGAUCAAACAGGAUUAGAUACCCUGGUAGUCCACGCCGUAAACGAUGAGUGCUAAGUGUUAGGGGGUUUCCGCCCCUUAGUGCUGCAGCUAACGCAUUAAGCACUCCGCCUGGGGAGUACGACCGCAAGGUUGAAACUCAAAGGAAUUGACGGC
rnacentral:rRNA from 1 species